GAUGAACGCUGGCGGCGUGCCUAAUACAUGCAAGUCGAGCGAACGGACGAGAAGCUUGCUUUUCUGAUGUUAGCGGCGGACGGGUGAGUAACACGUGGAUAACCUACCUAUAAGACUGGGAUAACUUCGGGAAACCGGAGCUAAUACCGGAUAAUAUUUUGAACCGCAUGGUUCAAAAGUGAAAGACGGUCUUGCUGUCACUUAUAGAUGGAUCCGCGCUGCAUUAGCUAGUUGGUAAGGUAACGGCUUACCAAGGCAACGAUGCAUAGCCGACCUGAGAGGGUGAUCGGCCACACUGGAACUGAGACACGGUCCAGACUCCUACGGGAGGCAGCAGUAGGGAAUCUUCCGCAAUGGGCGAAAGCCUGACGGAGCAACGCCGCGUGAGUGAUGAAGGUCUUCGGAUCGUAAAACUCUGUUAUUAGGGAAGAACAUAUGUGUAAGUAACUGUGCACAUCUUGACGGUACCUAAUCAGAAAGCCACGGCUAACUACGUGCCAGCAGCCGCGGUAAUACGUAGGUGGCAAGCGUUAUCCGGAAUUAUUGGGCGUAAAGCGCGCGUAGGCGGUUUUUUAAGUCUGAUGUGAAAGCCCACGGCUCAACCGUGGAGGGUCAUUGGAAACUGGAAAACUUGAGUGCAGAAGAGGAAAGUGGAAUUCCAUGUGUAGCGGUGAAAUGCGCAGAGAUGUGGAGGAAUACCAGUGGCGAAGGCGACUUUCUGGUCUGUAACUGACGCCGAUGUGCGAAAGCGUGGGGAUCAAACAGGAUUAGAUACCCUGGUAGUCCACGCCGUAAACGAUGAGUGCUAAGUGUUAGGGGGUUUCCGCCCCUUAGUGCUGCAGCUAACGCAUUAAGCACUCCGCCUGGGGAGUACGACCGCAAGGUUGAAACUCAAAGGAAUUGACGGGGGCCCGCACAAGCGGUGGAGCAUGUGGUUUAAUUCGAAGCAACGCGAAGAACCUUACCAAAUCUUGACAUCCUUUGACAACUCUAGAGAUAGAGCCUUCCCCUUCGGGGGACAAAGUGACAGGUGGUGCAUGGUUGUCGUCAGCUCGUGUCGUGAGAUGUUGGGUUAAGUCCCGCAACGAGCGCAACCCUUAAGCUUAGUUGCCAUCAUUAAGUUGGGCACUCUAAGUUGACUGCCGGUGACAAACCGGAGGAAGGUGGGGAUGACGUCAAAUCAUCAUGCCCCUUAUGAUUUGGGCUACACACGUGCUACAAUGGACAAUACAAAGGGCAGCGAAACCGCGAGGUCAAGCAAAUCCCAUAAAGUUGUUCUCAGUUCGGAUUGUAGUCUGCAACUCGACUACAUGAAGCUGGAAUCGCUAGUAAUCGUAGAUCAGCAUGCUACGGUGAAUACGUUCCCGGGUCU
rnacentral:rRNA from 1 species